AUUGAACGCUGGCGGCAGGCCUAACACAUGCAAGUCGAACGAGUGGCGGACGGGUGAGUAAUGUCUGGGAAACUGCCUGAUGGAGGGGGAUACCUACUGGAAACGGUAGCUAAUACCGCAUACCAUCGGAUGUUCCCAGCUGUGAUUAGCUAGUAGGUGGGGUAACGGCUCACCUAGGCGCAGAUCCCUAGCUGGUCUUAGAGGAGGACCAGCCACACGGGAACUGAGACACGGUCCAGACUCCUACGGGAGGCAGCAGUGGGGAAUAUUGCACAAUGGUCGCAAGCCUGAUGCAGCCAUGCCGCGUGUAGGAAGAAGGCCGUCGGGUUGUAAAGUACUUUCAGCGGGGAGGCGUUACUCGCAGAAGAAGCACCGGCUAACUCCGUGCCAGCAGCCGCGGUAAUAC
rnacentral:rRNA from 1 species